AUACGUAGGUGACAAGCGUUAUCCGGAUUUACUGGGCGUAAAGGGCGUGUAGGCGGUCUUGCAAGUCAGAAGUGAAAUUCCUGAGCUCAACUCGGGCGCUGCUUCUGAAACUGCAGGACUUGAGUGCUGGAGGGGAUAGCGGAAUUCCUAGUGGAGCGGUAAAAUGCGCAGAUAUUAGGAAGAACACCGGUGGCGAAGGCGGCUAUCUGGACAGUAACGGACGCUGAGGCGCGAAAGCGUGGGGAGCAAACAGGAUUAGAUACCCGGGUAGUCCACGCCGUAAACGAUGAAUACUAGGUGUAGGGGGUAUCGACUCCCUCUGUGCCGCAGUUAACACAAUAAGUAUUCCGCCUGGGGAGUACGGCCGCAAGGUUGAAACUCAAAGGAAUUGACGGGG
rnacentral:rRNA from 1 species